ensembl:lncRNA
GUCCAGAGUUUCGAUGAGGGAAGUGUACCUGGGAGCUGCAAUGGUCCAGUGGACCCUGGAGGUGCAUUUGGUUUUUAAAACACCCUAGCAACUGCAUAGCAAUUUUCAAAGCCCUGCUAACUGCCCUUGCAUAGCAGACAUAACAUUUAGUAGCAAGUUUUGAACAGGAUAAAGCCCCUUUAACACCAAGAGCAAAAGUUAUAACGAUAUUAGUGUAGACACCAGCAGACAAUAUUGUAUGUUAAUUCUAAGCACACGCUCAUCUGCUGUUUUUAAUUCUGGAGCUCCUUAUAGCAGGAUGGAUUCUGAUUGGGUGUCAAUGUUUGUAUCAUUCAUCAUUUGGAAAAAGAAUCACUCUGAAAGUGAUUCCAACAUUAUCGUUUCUCUGUGCCUUUUAUUGUUAUAGCUGUGGUGUUGACGCUGCUAUGCUUUAAUAUUGAGAAUGGUUUUUAGAACUACACUAUCUGUAUCGAUACCUUUAUAGUUAUCCUUAUCUUAUCUUUACCUCUGUCCUUAUCUUAUCUAUAUCUUUAUACUUAAAGAUAGUCCUAUAGUCCUUGGUGUGAAUGGGCCUUAACAUCUGAACUUCUGAAAAAAGUUCUGAUUUAAAAUGCAAUAUCGGUCCUUUUGCUUCCUGAAAAGCGAAAGUUUGUAAAAGCCACCGUGUGGAUUCAAAUAGUUUACUUAGGACAAUUUCCAUCUCUGAUAUUAUGCAAAUGUGAUUUUCGUAUGUGCAGCAGGCUAUAUGGUUUAUAGUUGAGGUAAUGUCCACCUGACCACGGUGCUAUGGUAAAAUGGAGUUGUUUGUUUAUUCUGAUAAAGUGGCUUUAGUGUUCUUGAACGCUUGUGAGAUGUGGACGCAUGCUUAUCUUGAUCUUGGUUCAUUGUAGGUGAACGAAACGGGUCUUGCGUGAUGAGAACAAACAGUUGUCAGUCAGACAGCAGCGGCUUCCUAGAGGAGCCCUUCAUACCUGCGCUAUCCCCGCAAAACAGCCCAGGACCCAAGCUCACGAAGAUGCUGAAUGCAAUAUCAAAAGAUAGUAAAGAGGAUCAACAGAAGAGAUUACAACAGCGAGAAAUGGAGGAUCCCCCUGCAGGUGAACCGAAUUGUGAAAUGGAGUCAAACCAAAAACCCUCGCCUACAAAAGACUCUGGCAAAACUGUUUUGGGAACAGCAGACUCUGAAACUAUGUUUGACUCAGGAGAGUUGAGGAAAAUAAGAAGUGAAAAAGAAAUCACUUUAUCCCCAGAUAUUAGUAAAGUUGGCAGAAAUAAUGUUUACACUCUAGCAUACUUUGUUCAAAUGGAUCCAGUCCAAAAUUAUCCUACCGAAAUUCGUGACCGACUGCGCGGAUCAAUUAGUCCAGACAGUCGUGUUUAUAGGGAGGGCAUGUCCUUGCUUGAGGAACUGAAAUCUGCUGAGACGAACUCACACUUGAGUCCUACUGAUCUGAGGACAGAUGUUUUGGAAAAGGGGGUGGGUAACUUUACAAAUAACCUUGAGGUGAGCAAAAAAGAUCCAGCUUUGGAUUUGAUUCAGGAAUCUCCUGCUUCUACCCACAACAAAACCGUGACCUCUGAUGCAGCCGCUGGACACAAUUCCCCCACAGCACUCAAACUCAGGAGAGAGUCUUUCUCCAGGAGAUCCUGGUCUGAUGGGAUCACAGAUAAUGACUCAGGAACAGCACAAACACCCACUACACAGACACCAUUCACAUCUGUGGACACAUCCCCACCUCACUUAUGGAACUCAGUGGAAAGUUCUGGAGAUCUUGGGCGUUUGCAUACGCGGUCGAUAUCUCUGGACACGGGACUGUCUUGUGAGGAGGAGGAUCACAGACUGCAGGAUGCAUUGGGGGCAGGGGCGCAGAGAUGCUUCUACUGUGGGUCCCAGAUUGGCUACGACAAUGGCUGGGCAAAACCUAAACCUGAUCUGUCUUCCAGUCUGCCUUACUCUCUGGAUGAGUUUGAAGACAUGGUGAAAUGUUUGAGGAAGUUCCAGGCAGUUCUGACAGAAAUCGAAGAGAGACUAGAAGAAGAACACGCAUCCGUGAUCAGAUCUCUGUCAGAUUCCCACAGGGAGGAAGUGGAAGAUGUUUUGAGGCUACGAGAAGCUGUCAAACAUGAAGCUGGGACGCUUGAACAGCAGCUGUCUGAUCUGGUACAUCACUCUGAUGACAGCAUUAAAAUGAAGCUGAAUCGGCUCAUGGACGAACAGUCUCAGCUGUGCACCCAACUGCAAAUUACCCCCUCUGAUAUGCAUCAUUCAGAGCCCACCUCUACCAGGAGCGUGGCCAUUCAGUGCUGCCUGCCGCCCGUCACGUCCAGUCAACAGCAGUGUGUCCAUCAUCACUGCACCUGUCAUGGGGCAUGUCAAGAUCCACACCGGUUCCCCUGUCAAACCCAAUGGGAGGCCAAUUACAAACCAGACAGGCUAGACUUCGUAGCUUUUAUUAAAAGUUUGAAAAAUUCACUACAACAUUCAAUGAAAAAUAAUUCAUUGGAAUAAGGUUUGUUAUCUUCUUUAGUCUGAAAUCAAAAGUUAAUUUUACUUAAUGACCCAAUAAAAUAAUUUGUUGAUAAUGGUUUAUAUUUUGUAAAUAUAACUUUCCCUCCACAUUCUGAUUUUACAUCUUGUAAUUCAGUUAUUUUUGUUUCUACCACAGAAUUAAAAAAGAUGACUGGGACUUUUUAUCUUUUUUUCUCACAUUUGCAAGUGUAUAUCUGACUUUUCACAAUAAUUGACUUAAUAUCUUACAAUUCUGACUUGUCUCAUUGUGAGAAAGAGAGCAUAACUGUGAUAUAUAUUGUCUAAAAAAAUUACAGAAUUUAUCAUGUGGCAGAAACCAGUUUCUAUAAAUAUAUAUGAGAAAAAAAAUACAAAUAUUUUAUGAGGUCUGAGUGGAAUUUAAUUUGACUUGAAUGCAACAUACAAAACCAAUAAUUUUGUUCUUUCCUUUAAUGUAGUGAUGCAGCAGUGAUGAAGACCCAUUUCACCGUUUUUUUGAAAGUCACUUAUAAAGUGAAGUGCUGACUCUUGAGCACAGAACUAAUAAAGAAUUAUGAAUAUACUAUUAUCAUGCGUCCACUUGAGUUUUUAUGUGUGCACAGACGUCUCUUAAUGUAGAGUGAACCUCCUCCCAGUAGCCUAACCGUCUCUCCUGCUCUCUUCAUCUUUGUGUCUUUGUAAUGAAACACUUCAUAUCAUUGUGGUGUUGCACUUACCAUAUAAGGAAACUGCUGCUCUCCUGAAGAAGCAGUGGAUGACAUAGUGCUGGUCCCCCGGUCUGAUUGGACAAUGAUCUGAUGGUUCCUCCACUGUUCCUGAGAUGCUCUCUCCAGCAGUUAUGGCCCAGUCUCAGGAACUGAAACCAUUUGCUGUUGAAAAUGUCAGUUGGCCUACUUUUUAAUAACUUCAUUUAAGAACGUUGUUGAACCUUAGAAAUAAACUUUUCCCAACUGGGACAGCUAUGGGGACCAUUUAAUACUAAUAGUGUUACAUUUUAGAAUAAAAAACUAUUCAUAGAUUUAAAAAAUCCAAAGGUAGCUAUUAUAAGUCAUCAUAACAGUUUUUAAAACACGUUUUGUGCAAUAACCAUUCAAUUGUUUAUCAUAUUAAAAAUAUUUUGGGCAAUGUUAAGGAGUUUUAAGCCAAUGUUGCUGUUAAAAUGCUUUGUGCCUACAAACUAUUCAAUGUUUUGCCAAGUAACAGAACAAUACGGAGUAAUAAUAACACUGUGAGAAACAUAGCUACCUGUUUGAAACGUUUUAGCAAAAAUAGGCCUCCUUCGAUGUCACUUCCUCAAAUAUGUUCUCAGAAAUACAAAAAUUAUAUUGGUUCAAAUCGUUGUCCUACCACCUAAACAAACGUAAAUGUAUCAAAGAAACAGAUCAGUAUGUGUUUAAAAUAUCAGUUAAAAAGGCGCUUUCAGAAUUUAGGGAUCAUGUGUAAAGUGCCACACUGUAUCCUUAUCCAGACUGACCAGGUUUUUACGUUUACAUUUAUGUUCUUGGCAGACGCUCCCUUACCAGGCGUAUAGGUUGGCAUAUGGACUUGUUGUGUUCAACAGGGUAGUAGAGUAUGGUUCAGUGAAUGAAAAUAUAAUAAAAACCACUUCACACGGGAGGAAGAAACACCAUUCACAUCAGAGGAGAAUAGAAAGACAUCAAAGCCUGUCAAUAAACAAUGUCCACAUUGUUUUCCAUUAUUAUUCAUUUCCUCUUAUUCACGCUCUCAACUAUGGUAGUCACGAGCUGUGGUGAGUGUAGAUGUGUAAAAUUAUGUUAAAUAUAAUUAGGCUAUUUAUGAUGUGGUAUAUUUAAAUUAUAUAUGGAUGCACUUAAAAUGAAAACCAAAUGAAGUGGGAAUAACUGAAGACAUAAUCUUAACACACUCCAUUUUACCAAACCUCACCUUCAUCGUGUUUGAAUCACUGCUUAAAGUGUUGAAGUUGUUUCAUUAACCUCGAUGACGUGUGUUCAUGGAAGCUGGGAUGAUUGACACAUGACAAGGGCCUCCGUCACCAUGACAACAGGCUCUAAAGGAGACAGAAAUAGAGGAGGCCCCUCCUCCUGAAGUACAUAACCCCUGUCUUUGAUCUGGCCUGCACUCGCUCUCCAUCUCUGCUGCACUGAGGUAAGGCCUCGCUCUUUCUUAUAAUUCACUUAUUUAGUUCUUUUCUAGAUUGAAAGAUAAAUACAAAAAUAUUUCAGAAGAUGUUAAUUAAUUAAAUAAUAGUUUUAAUAGUAAAAUGUUUGCAGUAUAUAAUCAAAGUUUUUUUUUUUGAGUAUUUAAACAGGUAUUUUUUUUUGUUUAAUGUUUUAUAAUUUAUUACCAUUUUAUAUAUAUAUAUAUAUAUAUAUAUAUAUAUAUAUAUAUAUAUAUAUAUGUUAUUUGUUACUUAUUGAAAUAUGAUUUAUU